rnacentral:rRNA from 1 species
UACGUAGGGGGCAAGCGUUGUCCGGAUUUAUUGGGCGUAAAGAGCGUGUAGGCGGCCAGACAGGUCCGUUGUGAAAACUCGAGGCUCAACCUCGAGACGGCGAUGGAAACCGUUUGGCUAGAGUCCGGAAGAGGAGAGUGGAAUUCCUGGUGUAGCGGUGAAAUGCGCAGAUAUCAGGAAGAACACCAGUGGCUAAGGCGGCUCUCUAGUCCGGUACUGACGCUGAGACGCGAAAGCGUGGGGAGCGAACAGG